rnacentral:rRNA from 1 species
GUCUAUGGCCAUACCACCCUGAAUGCGCCCAAUCUCGUCUGAUUUCAGAAGCUAAGUAGGGUGGCGCCUGGUUAGUACUUGGAUGGAAGAAAAAAAGGAAGGAAGGAAGGAAAGAAA